rnacentral:lncRNA from 1 species
CUACCAGAAUGGCAACCUAGAUGUCCAUUAAUAGUGGACAGGAUAAAGAAAAAUGUGGUACAUAUACAUCACGGAAUACUACACAGCCAUAGAAAUAAUGAUACAACUGUUGCCGCAAAUGGCAUGGUUUCUUUUUUUUUAAAGUCUGAAUAAUAUUAUAUUAUACACAUGCACGUAUGUGUGUGCAUGUGUCUGUGUGUGUGUGUGUGUCAGGGUUUUUGCUUUCAUACACUGACAGAUGUUUAGGUUGUUU